rnacentral:tRNA from 1 species
GGCACAGUGGUGCAGUGGGUAGCACUGUAUUGCCUCAUAGCAAGAAGGUCCUUGGUUUGAAUCCAGCCUGGGCCU